AUUAGGAAAGCAAACUAUUUGACAGCCAUUGCGUGUAGAAGGACCCAGAAACUCAUACAGAACUUUUGAAAUGACGAGGGCAACGAUCUCUAGACUUAAAGCUAGGAGGUGGUGUGUGACCAUGAGUUAGAUAAUGCUAAACCCAAGAGAAAGACAGAUUUGAGAGCAGGAAAAUUUAUAUAGAUGUAUUUUUGAAAUACAUUAGGAAAAAGUUUCUAUCAAAAUAAUUGCUCGUGAGUCUGCUUUUCCCACCUGACUAUCCACAACUCAAGGGUAGCACCAGCUAAUUCCUUCCCUUUGCCUGUUCCUUGGGCUCCUAGGUCGUUAAUGAAGCAAUGAACAGAACGUGAGCGCCAUUUCUGAAGUGAGUAGAUUAUAUUAAGUUAGGUCUGAAGGGAGAAGAGAGCACUGUGAAUUCUGUUUCUGAAAACUGUCCCGAAACCUUUCAUGUUGAUUCGGGUUGAGAAGCCUGAGAGUUGAAAUCGAUUGCUCUAGAUCCAGCUUGAGAGGCUGAACGUUGAAAUCGAUUGCUCUGGAGCCAAUCUGAGACGCAGAGAGCUGAGAUAGAUUGCUCUCCAUCCAGUAGGAGCUGUUGAGAGCUGAAAUCGAUUGCUCUGGAGCCCCAUGGAAACCAGCUUUGCCGGGUUGAGGCACAUCUUCAGAAAGAACCCUUCAACUUUGGAAGAUCCAGAGAGGUACCAGGAGGUCUAAGGCUAAGAUACAGGCACUGUUUCGAUGCUUAGAGUACACCUGAAGCAAAACACAGACGUCAUAAAGAAAACAGAGAGCAAAAGAGAUCGAAGAAAAGAAAAGGAACCAUGGGACUGAUAAGAUGGGCUCAGCAGAUAAGAGCACUGACUGCUCUUCCAAAGGUCCUGAGUUCAAAUCCCAGCAACCAUAUGGUGUCUCAAAAACACCCACAAUGAGAUCUGACGCCCUCUUCUGGCGAUAUCAUUUCAUAAAGCGCUUUUCAGAAUGUAUCUUGAAGAAAGCCAUCUUUCAGCUGAGUCCUCCAUCGGAAGUGGAGAUGCACAUCAACAGAGCCUAGGCAUCCCCUGGUCAUCCUAAAGAGAAGCUAUAUUCAUCCACACCAGAGAAUGAUUUCCAUUCUACCUUGGAAAUGCUGUGUUAAUACAUUUAGGUAGGCAGGAGGGAGUCAGAGAGGAUUAUAAAAGUUUUGAGGUUCUCUGUCCUGGUUGGUCUUUUGUCACCUGGACACACCUAGAGUUCUCUGAGGAUAAAAGCUUCAAUUGAGGGAAAAAAAUGCAUCGAUCAGCAAAAUUGUCUGUGGGCAAAUCUGUGGGGCAUAUUCUGGAUUGUUCAUUGAGCCCACUGGGACCUGUGCCAACCCUGGGCCGGUGGACUUGAUAGUGUAAGAUAGCAAGCUGAAUGCGCCAGGAGGAGUAAGCCAGGUAGUAGUGUUUCACCACAGCCUCUGCUUCAGCUCCUGACCUCCCUUCCUGACAGACAACAACUGUAAGCUGAAAUAAACCCUUUCCUCUCCAAGU